AGCAGCCGCGGUAAUUCCAGCCCCAAUAGCGUAUAUUAAAGUUGUUGCAGUUAAAAAGCUCGUAGUUGAAUUUCGGGGUUAGCAGGUCGGUCGUGCCAUUGGUAUGAACUGGUCUCGCUGAUCCCUCCCUCUUGACGAACUGUGAUGCCAUUAAUUUGGUGUCGCAGGGAAUCAGGACUGUUACUUUGAAAAAAUUAGAGUGUUUAAAGCAGGCUUUCGCUUGAAUACAUUAGCAUGGAAUAAUGAAAUAGGACGUUUGAUUCUAUUUUGUUGGUUUCUAGGAUCGACGUAAUGAUUAAUAGGGAUAGUUGGGGGCAUUAGUAUUCAAUUGUCAGAGGUGAAAUUCUUGGAUUUAUUGAAGACUAACUACUGCGAAAGCAUUUGCCAAGGAUGUUUUCAUUAAUCAAGAACGAAAGUUAGGGGAUCGAAGACGAUCAGAUACCGUCGUAGUCUUAACCAUAAACUAUGCCGACUAGGGAUCGGGCGAUGUUGUUUCCAUGACUCGCUCGGCACCUUAUG
rnacentral:rRNA from 1 species